UGGUAGAUGCACCCUGAUAACCCACUCCCUUAGCCGAUUGCCAUCAGCUGAGGGAUUUUUUU
rnacentral:sRNA from 1 species